AACGGAAGAGUCUGUUAUUCCACACGGGAGUCAACCCAGUCUUGGUUCAACAUAAUUGAUCAACUUUGGGUGUGUGUGUGACAUUUGAUCCAUUACGUCCUUACCCCUUCCCUCAUAUGGAAGCUUGAAACUGAUAAUUCAAGGGGAAACCCAACAUUUAUACUGCAUGAAAGGAGGAUGCUGAUUGAUUGGAUUCCCAAGCGGAAUAUGAGUUGCUGUUCCUGCAACCUUCGGGUUGCAGCGUCGUGGCACUGCAGGAGGCCCAGGAUGGACAUGUCGUCUGAGGAAUGGGAGGAGGAGUUGAAAUGGUUCGUGACUGGGAGGUGUUACCUCAGAUUCUCCAGCAUCUGCAGUUCCUGCUAUCUAUAUAAGUGGAGGA